CUCAAUAUUUAGUGUUUUCUCACUUAAAAUUCUCUUCCUGCAAGCCAUUAAGGUGUGAGAUUGAGCCUUUCAGUGUUCAUGGAGAGCUAAAACACAUGGGGGUAGAGAAGAACUGAAAAGAUAUUUAUUUGGGGACCCAGGCCAAUACUGAGGAAUUUGAUUCAGCUACAAUGUCCAGCUGGAUGUGAGAUAAAGCAGUGCUUAAUCUGGAUUUCUAGACUAGCUGUGAAGAACCACAGUGAUGGGGUUUCCCAUAGGUAACACCAGACCUUAGGGAUUUUUGAAAAUUAAAAGGUUUUAUGCCUGGAAAUAAUUAUAGUUCACAAAAAAAGGAUUUGAUUCCUUUUUAGCAAAAUGGGCAUUGAGCUGUGCAGAGUCCUUCGGUUUGGUGCUGAAGUUGUGUUAAAUCUUACAUUUCAAGGUUUCCUGAGUUUCUUCUAAUUUCCAAGAAUACUGAGAUGAAACAGCCACUAUAAAUCCUGUAAGUCCAAAAGUGCCAGGUGUAUAGCAGCAAGUAGUUUAUCAGCUUCUGUUUAUCUGGGUUUUCUUAAACCUUGUCAGACACAAUGAUGAUCAGCACUGACUUCCUACCAAACAGGUCAAUAGAGGCUUCACUCUCUGAUCUAGAUGCCAGAUGAGUUGUCCACAAAACAUCCAUUAGGACACAGACCUCAGGUGUAGGAAAACAUAGCAAACAAUUACAGAGACUUCCUGGGAUGAAAGAAUUCAAGCCAUGAUCACCUGCUUGCUCAGAAAUAACUGAUGAAAUUGGUGAUAUGAUUCCUUGUGAUGGCCUGCCUGCUUUGUGUCAGGAAGGUUCACAUCUCUAAUGUCUCUUCAGAUGUUUUUAAGCCUGCAGCACGGUGCUGAGAGAGAACUGCUUCAGCAGGAGUGUUGUGCCAUCCUUGGCCAGGGAAGGAGUGAAAUGCUGACCCCUGGAAGUGCUGGCCAGGGUGCUAUGCAUGGCAUGGAAAGGAAAUAUUUCUGUGGUGGAAAUCUGCAUCUGGUGCUCCUGGGCUGUGCAGAAGUAAAGCCCCAACUGGAAGCCAAUGGAGUUGGAAAUGUACUGACUUUGUUUCAUUUCUGGUAUAAUUAGUCACCAAUAGCUGAAUACUGAUGUUGGAUGCACAAUAACCACCCUCAGCCUCUCUGCAGAAAUGGAAAUGCAAUUGGCAUUUGCUGCUGUCUCUGAAAUGGGUUUUGUUGAACCUAAUUUGUUUUCCCAGCAACCCUGUUGCUAAAUGUUCUCAGACCAGGCAGGGAAUAUGCAAAUGAUGGAAUUAUUUUUCAUGGCAUUGAGGGGGCAGCUAGGUUAAUACCAGUCACUUUGCCCUUGGGCAUCGAUUGCCAUCAGCUGUGCCAGCCAAUCUCUUACAUGAAAACUCCAAGAGUGAUUCUCCACCAUCCUGCAUGGCCUUCAGCUGAUACCAGGUGAGUGUCAGACCUUCCAGAGGCAGCAGAUGUGUUUUGU